UACGUAGGGCGCAAGCGUUAUCCGGAAUUAUUGGGCGUAAAGAGCUCGUAGGCGGUUUGUCGCGUCUGCCGUGAAAAUCCGGGGGCUCAACCCCGGACUUGCGGUGGGUACGGGCAGACUAGAGUGUGGUAGGGGAGACUGGAAUUCCUGGUGUAGCGGUGAAAUGCGCAGAUAUCAGGAAGAACACCCGUGGCGAAAGCGGCUCUCUGGAACGGUACUGACGCUGAGACGCGAAAGCGUGGGGAGCGAACAGG
rnacentral:rRNA from 1 species